rnacentral:rRNA from 1 species
AACGUAGGUGGCGAGCGUUAUCCGGAUUCACUGGGCGUAAAGCGCCUGCAGGCGGUCUUGUAAGUGGGGUGUGAAAUCUCCCGGCUCAACUGGGAGGGGUCGCUCCAUACUGCGGGACUGGAGGGCAGAAGAGGGAAGUGGAAUUCCCGGUGUAGUGGUGAAAUGCGUAGAGAUCGGGAGGAACACCAGUGGCGAAGGCGGCUUCCUGGUCUGCCCCUGACGCUAAGAGGCGAAAGCUAGGGGAGCGAACGGG